rnacentral:rRNA from 2 species
GUGUAAAGGCACAAGGGAGCUUGACUGCGAGACAGACAGGUCGAGCAGGGACGAAAGUCGGGCUUAGUGAUCCGGUGGUACCGUAUGGAAGGGCCAUCGCUCAACGGAUAAAAGCUACCCUGGGGAUAACAGGCUUAUCUCCCCCAAGAGUCCACAUCGACGGGGAGGUUUGGCACCUCGAUGUCGGCUCAUCGCAUCCUGGGGCUGUAGUCGGUCCCAAGGGUUGGGCUGUUCGCCCAUUAAAGCGGUACGCGAGCUGGGUUCAGAACGUCGUGAGACAGUUCGGUCCCUAUCCGUCGCGGGCGUAGGAAAUUUGAGAGGACCUGUCCUUAGUACGAGAGGACCGGGAUGGACAUACCUCUGGUGUACCAGUUGUGCCGCCAGGCGCAUCGCUGGGUAGCUACGUAUGGAUGUGAUAAACGCUGAAAGCAUCUAAGUGUGAAACACACCUCGAGAUGAGAUUUCCCAUUCCUUUAUGGAAGUAAGACCCCUGAAAGAUGAUCAGGUAGAUAGGUUAGAAGUGGCAGUGCGGUGACGCAUGAAGCGGACUAAUACUAAUCGGUCGAGGACUUAACCAAG